AGAACAGAACGCUGUCGUCCUACACAACUUCCUCCCUCGCGUCUCGUUCUUUUCUUCCCCCGACUGGCGGCUAGGGUUCCCAUCGGCGGUACCGCAGCCGCCGCCACUGGAGAAGGCGGCAAGGCGCCCUUCUGAGAUGCUCUUCUCCUCCAAACUUUUCGUCUUCGCAGCAAGGUGUCAUUCCAUCCCGUCACCAUGGUGGUUGCAGAGGAGGGGAGGAAGGGGAUGGCAUCGAGGUGCCGACGGAGCACAUAGGUCGAGGCGGCAAGAUGCAGAGGUGCGGGUGGUGCGAACGGAGAGGCAACUCCAUACCCGCGCGCAGUCGCCUGCCCUCUCCUUCCUCCUCUGCCUUCCCUCUCCUCCAGUCAGCGCCGCCACCACUGCCACGCCUCGCCGCUACACUAUUCCUGCAGCGGUGACCCCGUGGAGGAGCAGAUCGACCACAACGGUUUAAAGUUCUCUGCUAGGUUUGGAGCUACUACUCCAUCUUCGAUCCCAGCCAUCUCGCACCCCCCUGAAAAUUUCUGGAUUACAAGAAGCCUGUUGUUGCAGUACAUAAAGGGAGAAUUAAUCCUACUUAAAUUCAGAGAUAGCAAGACAUGAACUACUGACCGUCUCGGGCUGACAGCUGAGGGAGAGGGGGAGGACAGCUGCCGCUGCUUCUCUCGAGCCCUUGUUGCUGGUGUGGUGGAUCUGCUCCGAGCCCCUCAAGCCACCCAUCUUCAAGAUUGUCGCAAGGUUGAGACUAGAGUCCAACUCUGAGCUCUGAGCUCCAGGGGAGUGACCAACUCAUGGCGUGGUGUCUGCUUGCUGUAGGUAUACUCAUCCGCAAUACCCAGCUCUCUUCUCGUGCACUUCUUCUUGAUCAUCAUGUCUCUGAAUCCCGCAUGUAUGUUCUCUCUUCCUUCACCAUCCUUCUAGGAGUAUUCGACAAGUAAUCUCUUUUUCUCAAAUAUCCAUAGUUCACAGGACUGGUGAUUGCUUAGCAAAGCAUUUGAACAAUUUAACUGAUGCUCAUGAUUGUAAACUGCAUGAUACAGAGCACCCUAACGAGUUUAUAUAUGUCAUCAUUGAAGAAAAUGUGAUCAGCGAAGGAGUUUCCUUUUAUUAAAAUAAAUUGGAAUAUAACUUUGAUUUAGUAAUACGCUCUUCAUGAUUUAUUUUCGUAUGGCUUCAGUCUGAGGGCAAUGAGCACUGGAGGUUUCAUAGCCACUCUUGAGUUAAUGCUGACCUUGCCUAAAAAAAUGCCCACAUCCCAUAUAGGCCAGUAUUAUUCAAUAUCCACAUGCCUCAACAUGUACAGUGCACAGUUACUUACAGAAGUAAACCCUCAGCUCACUCUAACCUUUUGUUGUCAAAUGUAGGAACUCCAAGCUAACUCAUAUAUCAAUCCUAUUUUCCUGUAACUAUUUUAGGUGCAUCUACUUGAUUUCUCCUUUUGGUUUAGGGAAAGUUUCAAGGAUCACUACUUUUGGAUUCUUAAUUGAUGUUUUUUGUGUGGCAAUCAAACGAGAGAGCAUCCAAUAUCUGUUACCUACUCUCUCCGUUCCAAAAUAGAUGACUCAACUUUAUACUAUUUUGGAACGGAGGGAGUACAUUGGAGGCCGAUGCAUUAGAUUUCACCAUCUUCAUCUAUUUUGUUUCAAGAUCAUUGUUAUUUUGAUUCAAGAUAUUUUCUCAUUGUGAUGGAAGAUAGAAAAGGAUGGUUGUAGAAAGACAAUUAUUUUACUUGGAGUUUUUUUUCUGUGUUUGCAUUGAAAUAAUAAUGUUCAACAGCAGAUAUAGCUUGCAGUCAAGAUACCACACAAAUAGAAUUCAGUUUUACUUAAAGGAGCUUGCCAACCUAAUUUUGGUUCUGGCUGCAGCACAAUGCAGAUUUUGAUUUGGUUUGCUUGCAAGAGAUUUGUUAUUUUGAUUAUUUUAUUCACUAUUCUAUAUGAUUGUCCUUUACUUUGGAACUAAACAAGCUCCAUUUUCUGUCUUUUACAUUGCAUUCUUUCUUGGUUAACUGAACUUUUCUGUUCUCAUUUCUUCCAUUUAAUGACGUGAAUAUUUUUGAUGAGACGAUAGAUGUUCUUUCGGUCUUCUUGGUUAAAUGAACUUCUCUUUUCUUCAUGUUUGGCCACAAUGAAUACUUGCUCAUACCGAACUAUAAUUGCAAAUGGUUUGCGCAUGAACGAGCAUAGGCUGCAUUGCAUUCUUUUGUGGGAGAACAACAAGGAACUGGAGACGAAAUUGGAAGACAACAGGGAGUGAGUUGAAGGUACCUGAACAAGUCACCUGUACGUAUUGUCCCAUGUGCUGUCUGCUUACAUAGCUCUGUUGCCACAGAAGGAUGCAAACAUGAGUUCUGCAUGAGAUGUGUGCCACGUACAUUUGCUUGACCAGCUACACAUUGGUGAACCCAACAGGCGCUAUUAUCGUGCCCACUCUGUCGGCACCCGAUCAUCUCGUCGUCAUUCUGCACGACGAGCCUAGCGGUUUCCUCGGACUUCACCGCCCCCGGGGACCGGGCCACCGAGCUCCGUUGUGGUGCUGGUGCCCACAUGUUGUCGAUGGGCUUGAUGAGAACGGGAUGAUGCUACCGUUGGUGCGGAGCCAUUGCGCCAUCGUCAACCACGCACGACGGGAGUAGCUCUUUGAGGAGAUUGAGACUGAGGAUGACAAGGAGUUGAACCAGCACGAUGCCGAUGCCAAAAAGUCACAUGUCGACAGCUCUCGCGGGUUGGCGCUGCCGCCAACGACGACGAGGCAAGCGGCUUCGGCUCGGGGCGCGUCGAAGUAGUCUUUUUUCUUUGGCUUUUAGUCUUUAUUAUGCUCGGUGUCAAUCUUUUACGUUGUAAAAAGCCUUGCAUACACUUGUGCCAAGAAUGGACCAAACAAGAAAAUGAAAGGGGCGCUAUCCCACCUCGCACCGCCAAGGUUCCACCUAGCCCCAACCACUAGUAUCUUUUACAACUCGUUUGGCUCCUGUCUUUUGACUCGGAUUUCACGGAUUUCAUUUCCGAAUUCCGGCCCUGACUUGUUUGGGUGUCACGAAACUAUAC
rnacentral:rRNA from 1 species